GGAAGAAGUUUUAACAGUACAAUACCGCAAAGUUUAGUAAGGCCAACCGUAAAAGUUGUUAGGCAUGGACUUUAAAGAAUUGCUUAACACUAAGUUACACUCCCUUCCCAAAUGGAUUGCUCAGAACGUUAGUAUGUCCAGUGUGAAGACUACGUUUAUUGAAGCUAUAGAAACUUAUAGAAAAAAAUAUAUAGUGCCGGGGAAAUGUAAUCCUGUGUUCCAUUUUGCUUUUGUUUCGGGCUUAAUUUUUUAUUAUUUCUCGCACGACCAU